AUCGCUUCUCGGCCUUUUGGCUAAGAUCAAGUGUAGUAUCAAGUGUAAAAAUAAGUCAUUGUAAUAAUAUCUGUAUCUGUCUGUUCUUGUCUCUUCAAAAUGUUAUGUUCUUCUUUAUUCAAAAGCUAAUAGACUGUGACCUUAU
rnacentral:snRNA from 1 species